rfam:Tessaracoccus bendigoensis DSM 12906 genome assembly, contig: EK12DRAFT_scaffold00019.19
UCGAUGAGCCAGGUGUUAGGGUGAUCGCGUCAUUCUCGGGGAAUCUGGUGAGAAUCCAGCGCUGACCCGCAACCGUGACGGCCCUCUGGCCGGAGCCGGGAACCCGAACUGACCUUGUCCAGUUAC